UAUUAUUAAAACUUGAAGACUUUAUUUGCCAGGCUGAAGAUAGAGCAAAUCAAGCUGAGGCAAAGGUAGUAGAACUGGAGAAAGAGAUUGAUAACUUGGAUGCUGAACUGGAACAGUCCAAGAAUGAAUAUGCCAAAGUGAAAGAGGAACUGGAUGCAACAAUGCAGGAGUUGAGUGAAAUGUAAAAA